ensembl:processed_transcript Gm16244 predicted gene 16244
AAACUCCUCCUGGGAGGCCAGGGAACAGAGCGCUGUUGCACCUUCCUACCGGGUUGCAACCUCAGCCCAGUAGGCUCAUCUUAAGGACAAGAACGGUGGGUGGGUGUUAUUCUUAUUUCCCGGCUUCAAAUAACAAGAGAAAUAAGCUGCCUCUGGAAUCCUCCCAUUUUUCUAACAGGCAAUAAGAAUCUAAGGCGGAGGAGGAAGGUUUGAUCCUGGGGAUUUUGAAAGCAAUGAAACUCUGAGCCUGGCUGCACCAUUCUCGGGCUUGCCUUGAUGGUAACUUCCGGAGGAAACUUUGAAGAGAAGGGCGAUUCUGAGAAAAAUCCCCUGAUCCCACUUUUACCACCCGGGUCACAGUUCUCUCAUUGUCCCUAGCAAACUGUCCCCGUGGCCUCUGUCCCGCCUAACACAGCUCAGUUGGGGGGUGGGUGCGAGGGGUGGGGACUAUAGCCUGUGAUGCUCCAGCAGGAGCAGCUGGCCUAGGAGGGAGUCUCUCCCCGCGCCGCUUAGCACCGCCUCACUGCGUGGCUCCGCCCAAUAGCUGCUUAGCACUCUUUCAACGACACCCAGAAAUUCUGACGUACCCUCCCCCUCUCCUCCCGGGGACGAAGGCCUGGCUUGUGACGCCCGCUCCAAAAGGGCAUGAGACUGAUGCGGGUUUCCCCGGGUGCCUGGGCCUCUCCAAACUGGGAGAGCUUGCCGGAGGUGCCCACCGAGGGGCGACCCAGGACUGCGCUUGGUCACCCACGAUGCCCACGUACCGGAUCCGCGGCUCGCACCGCCCAGCGUAUAGCCAGCCUGCGGCGCGCUUCCGGGUAGGACACGUGACCCAGCCACAUGACCGGGGCCUGCUUUGUGGGUUCGAGCCCCGCCCCGUCAGGCAUUGCUCACCCUUCAGGCUACUGUGCUUGCUGGUCACCCGCCGCUAGGGAGCCGUGCCACGUUCACCCUGGCAUAAGUAGGUAUCUCACUGCCUUUAGAGGCACCAGCUGAGCCGGUGACAUUUCUAGAGUCUCUUUUGCUUGAUUUAGCUAAAGGGAUUCCCCACAGAUUUACAGAAGGGGCAACUGAGAACCCCGAGGGAACCCCCUUGCAGAAGAAGGAACAAAUGGAACCAGAACCCAGGUUUCCUUGCACCUUCACCUGGCCCUUCCCAGCCUUUCGUUUUCUUGCCGAAUCUAGUUGUAGGUGAAAGGUACCCUUUUUGUGGGUGCUUUCCCUUACUUAACUCCAGGGGACUGAACCCGUGUGUCUUAGUCAGGGUUUCUAUUCCUGCACAAACAUCAUGACCAAGAAGCAGUUUGGGGAGGAANNNNNNNNNNNNNNNNNNNNNNNNNNNNNNNNNNNNNNNNNNNNNNNNNNNNNNNNNNNNNNNNNNNNNNNNNNNNCCCUUGAUCACUAAUUGAGGAAAUGCCUUACAGCUGGAUCUCAUGGAGGCAUUUCCUCAACUGAAGCUCCUUUCUCUGUGAUAACCCCAGCUGUGUCGAGUUGACACAAAACCAGCCAGUACACCAUGCAGAAGAGCCCAGCUACCUUUGGGCUCCUUGAUUUACAAAGGUUCCCAGUCUGACUGAGGGCUGCAUACACAUUAGGGCUUUUGUCUUGAACCUGCGAGUGAUUGCAUACUAUCAAGAUUUUUAUGUGUAUUUGGAGGGGCGGAAAGAGUGAAGAAGGCCAAUGGAGUCCACAGAAGAGGCUGGGCGCCUACCACAGGUCCUCAUUGGGUACCUUGGUGCUUCUGAGAAACUUUGUGUACGACCCAGCAUGAGCACUCCGCACCCACUAGGCAGAGGCCAAGAGCCAGUGCUGCGGCCACUCCAGCUACCUAAGGUACAAUUAAACAACAUCGCAAACGCCUGCGCCUGCGCCUUCGCCACCACCCUGCUCAGCCAGGCUCCACAGUACAGCCACAAGCAUCAGUCUCCUGGAGUCCUGAAUCUGCCGACACUAUCCUGACUUCGGUCGGUCAUUUCCCCCUUGUUUCAAACAGUUUGUAAGCCUGAAUAACUGUUACCCGUGAACAAUUUAUAACUAAUCUAGUCCAUGUUACCUGAUGCUAGUGACUUGUGUCUUGCAGAUGACUAAAGAAUGGCGCCGAUCAUCUCUUCAUGUGGUUUUUCUCUUCAUUUGUGUAGCUUUAAAAUUUUUUUUGCUUUCAAAUAAACAUUUAUUCAUAUCUUCU